rnacentral:snRNA from 1 species
AGCUUUGCGCAGUGGCAGUAUCGUAGCCAAUGAGUUUUAUCCAAGGCGCAAUUAUUGCUAAUUAAGAUUUAUUUGUU